rnacentral:rRNA from 1 species
UACGUAGGGUGCGAGCGUUAAUCGGAAUUACUGGGCGUAAAGUGUGCGCAGGCGGCUUCGCAAGUCGAGUGUGAAAUCCCCGAGCUUAACUUGGGAAUUGCGCUCGAAACUACGGAGCUGGAGUGUGGCAGAGGGAGGUGGAAUUCCACGUGUAGCAGUGAAAUGCGUAGAGAUGUGGAGGAACACCGAUGGCGAAGGCAGCCUCCUGGGCCAGCACUGACGCUCAUGCACGAAAGCGUGGGGAGCAAACAGG